UGUCCCUACCGAGCAGCGGGUGCAAAUGCGGGUGUGCAAGCGGAGGGAGUGGCAGCCUGACAUUUCAUGCAUCACACAACACCAUGACUUUUGAUAAAUCUGCCUGGACAAAGAUGUACUUGAAGUGGCCUACAAUGCCUAUCGAGAGCACUACAGGGGUAACUUUGGAAAUGAGUGAGUGUGCAAACAAUAUACCAACAAUAUUAGUGAUAAUUUGCUGGACUGUACCAUAAUAAUGGUCACUUGUAUUGUUUGUUGAGUGGUAAGAACUGUGUAACAACUACUUUGAAGUCACACGAUGUGAAAAAAAAUCUGUAAUGUAUCACAUUGUAAACACUUGCUUUUGUAACCUUGCAGCUGGAAGAGGUAUACAGCAUACAGGCAGUUUGUUCGGUGGUGCUUGGGGUUCCUGGGCAGACAUACCCGUGUCCCACUGCCUUCGUGUGCUGUGGCACUUAUACGAAGGCAAUUUCCCUCUCCUGAUUACAAAGGAUUCCAGGAAGCUGCUGACGACUGAACUUUGUUGACAGAUAAAAUGAUAAUGCAAAUAAAGUAGAUGGAGCCCUGACUCCAUUCAACUGAGAUCUGCUUACACCCUGCUUAAACGUGUUCAUCACCGGCCCCCCGUAGUUCGCCAUCACACUGCACUGAUCGGCUGACAAAAGCAUACAGGUGUUCCAGUGAGCGAUGCGAGGACAUGGAGACGGUAGAGGAAAGUGUCUGAUGUCGGGAGCAAAUGCGGGUGUGCAAGCGGAGGGAGUGGCAGCCUGACAUUUCAUGCAUCACACAACACCAUGACUUUCGAUAAAUCUGCCUGGACAAAGAUGUACUUGAAGUGGCCUACAAUGCCUAUCGAGAGCACUACAGGGGUAACUUUGGAAAUGACUGGAAGAGGUAUACAGCAUACAGGCAGUUUGUUCGGUGGUGCUUGGGGUUCCUGGGUAGACAUACCCGUGUCCCUCUGCCUUCGUGUGCUGUGGCACUUAUACAAAGGCAAUUUCCCUCUCCUGACUACAAAGGAUUCCAGGAAGCUGCUGACGACUGAACUUUGUUGACAGAUAAAAUGAU